GGACUUGUAGCUCAGUUGGUUGCAUAGGAAAGCGCAGCUUUUCUAUGCCGUAGAGAGCAACAGACUCAUAAUCUGGAGGUCCCAGGUUCAAGCCCUGGCUGGUCCACAA
rnacentral:tRNA from 1 species